GCGGGUGUGGUGUAUGGUUUACUGCUGUCGGCAAUAAGAAUGGGAUAGUUCAGUUCAACAGCAGGUCCGGGUUCGAGUCCCGGCACCCGCG